GGUUAAGCGACUAAGCGUACACGGUGGAUGCCCUGGCAGUCAGAGGCGAUGAAGGGCGUGCUAAUCUGCGAUAAGCGCCGGUAAGGUGAUAUGAACCGUUAUAACCGGCGAUACCCGAAUGGGGAAACCCAGUGUGACUCGUCACACUAUCAUUAACUGAAUCCAUAGGUUAAUGAGGCGAACCGGGGGAACUGAAACAUCUAAGUACCCCGAGGAAAAGAAAUCAACCGAGAUUCCCCCAGUAGCGGCGAGCGAACGGGGAGGAGCCCAGAGCCUGAAUCAGCAUGUGUGUUAGUGGAAGCGUCUGGAAAGGCGCGCGAUACAGGGUGACAGCCCCGUACACAAAAGCGCAUGUGCUGUGAGCUCGAUGAGUAGGGCGGGACACGUGGUAUCCUGUCUGAAUAUGGGGGGACCAUCCUCCAAGGCUAAAUACUCCUGACUGACCGAUAGUGAACCAGUACCGUGAGGGAAAGGCGAAAAGAACCCCGGCGAGGGGAGUGAAAAAGAACCUGAAACCGUGUACGUACAAGCAGUGGGAGCACCCUUUGGGGUGUGACUGCGUACCUUUUGUAUAA
rnacentral:rRNA from 1 species